rnacentral:rRNA from 1 species
UUGGAGGGCAAGUCUGGUGCCAGCAGCCGCGGUAAUUCCAGCUCCAAUAGCGUAUAUUAAAGUUGUUGCAGUUAAAAAGCUCGUAGUUAAAUUUCGAGAUCAAUUUGUCGGUCGUGCCUCGGUACGUACUGGCAUUAUUGAUUUCUCCCUUCUGAAGAACCGCGAUGUCAUUAAUUUGGUGUCGUGGGGAAUCAGGACUGUUACUUUGAAAAAAUUAGAGUGUUUAAAGCAGGCGCACGCUUGAAUACAUUAGCAUGGAAUAAUGAAAUAGGACGUUUGAUUCUAUUUUGUUGGUUUCUAGGAUCGACGUAAUGAUUAAUAGGGAUAGUUGGGGGCAUUAGUAUUCAAUUGUCAGAGGUGAAAUUCUUGGAUUUAUUGAAGACUAACUACUGCGAAAGCAUUUGCCAAGGAUGUUUUCAUUAAUCAAGAACGAAAGUUAGGGGAUCGAAGACGAUCAGAUACCGUCGUAGUCUUAACCAUAAACUAUGCCGACUAGGGAUCGGAUGAUGUUAAUUUUUUAAUGACUCAUUCGGCGCCUUACGGGAAAC